rnacentral:siRNA from 1 species
GGUGGGAUUAUGCUUGGACCU